UUGAUGUUUUUCAUAUUCUUAAUUUUUUAUAUGUUUUAUGUUUCCUGCAGUGAAUGUUAUGAUGUCUCAGAGGGAUGUUGUCAUGUUGACCUUAACCUUAAUUGCAAUAAGGUGAUUCCAGUACCGAUGACGAGCUCAAUUUCAGCGUAGCAUCAGGCUAUACAAUGCCAUGUUUGCGUUUACCAUCCUAAUAAGUGGACAUCAGUCUGCCACGUUAUUGUUUCCCACGUGCACUCACACGCACACAAAACCUACACACACAGAUUGUUUACCUCGAAGCUGCAGAGCAUAGAAGCGAAUGCAAGGCUUCUCCAGGAAGAUUUUUCUGCGCCGGCUACAAGUACAACCCAGCACCUGCAAUUGGAUGAUCAAGAUUCCACCAGACUAUGGCAGUUGUUUACUUCCGAAGAUAUAAUCCAAGGUUACAAACAAAAGAGUGUUAGAAAGCGCAAGAAAUAUGGAGAGAAAGAAUAUCUCUGGAAAUUCGGCUAAUAGAUUUAGUUAUCCUCUUUCUCCGCUAUCUCCUCCUAACAGUGCAAAUACAUCAUACCCAACACAUGCAAUUCCUGGGACUGUUAAUCAAGGCAUCUCCAGUUUAUCAGUUGGAGAAGAGUUCUUUUACCAGGACUCCACCAGCACGUGCAAGUCCUGGGACUUUUAAUCAAGGCAUCUCCAGUUGUGCGGAGUGGAGUGUUUCACAUAAGAAUUUUAUGAGCAGAGCAGAUUCAGAUGCCAUAGGAAAAUUAUUUCUGCUAUAUGAGAAUUUAAUUCGUUAAUUGAAAAAUUAAAGAGACCACACAAGAUUCCAUUAACUACUUGAUAAUCUUAGUAUUGAAUUAAGCUUUGUUAUAUUAAGCUUUGUUAUAUUAUCAGGGAAUUAAUAAGCACAAGACUUUUUCGUAUUGUGCUUAUUAAUUCUUAUGAUUUAGACAUUUAUAUUCUUAAAAAUCAUAAUUAUGUGGUUA